rnacentral:rRNA from 1 species
CCUACGGGCGGCAGCAGUCGAGAAUUAUUCACAAUGGGGGAAACCCUGAUGGUGCGACGCCGCGUGGGGGAAUGAAGGUCUUCGGAUUGUAAACCCCUGUCAUGUGGGAGCAAAUUAAAAAGAUAGUACCACAAGAGGAAGAGACGGCUAACUCUGUGCCAGCAGCCGCGGUAAUACAGAGGUCUCAAGCGUUGUUCGGAAUCACUGGGCGUAAGGCGUGCGUAGGCUGUUUCGUAAGUCGUGUGUGAAAGGCGCGGGCUCAACCCGCGGACGGCACAUGAUACUGCGAGACUAGAGUAAUGGAGGGGGAACCGGAAUUCUCGGUGUAGCAGUGAAAUGCGUAGAUAUCGAGAGGAACACUCGUGGCGAAGGCGGGUUCCUGGACAUUAACUGACGCUGAGGCACGAAGGCCAGGGGAGCGAAAGGGAUUAGAUACCCCGGUAGUC